GUCGAAAACUAAUGUAUAUGCACCACUCAGGGCAUGCAGAUGAGGUCAUACUAUGUUGGUUGCCCAGGCUGGAUUCUAACUCCAGGGCUCAAGGGAUCCGUCUGUCUCAGCCUUUUGAGCAGCUGGGAUUAUAGGUAUGCACCAAGAUCCAGAAUGGAGGCUGGUCACCAGAAAGACUGAGCCAUGAUUAGAAGUUUGGAACUUUCAGCCCUGCCCUUAUCCUCCCAGAAGGUGUGAGGGAAUGGAGAGUGAGUGAAUAUUCAACCAUGCCUCUGUGAUGAAGCCUCCCUCAAUGACAGGGUUUGGAGAGCUUCUGUGUUGCUGAACACAUCCAUGUGCCAGGAGUGUGGUUCACCCCAACUUCACGGGGACAGAAGCUGCCGUGCUCAGAACACUUUGGAUCUCACCCUAUGCACCUCUUCAGCUGGCUGUUCAUCUGCAUCCUUCAUAAUAGCCUUUGUAAUGAACUGAAGAUGCAUUAUUGAGACAAGGAACAGAG
rnacentral:lncRNA from 1 species